rnacentral:rRNA from 2 species
CUGAUGCGUUGUUGGGUAGGGGAGCGUUCUGUAAGCCUGCGAAGGUGGCCUGUGAGGGUUGCUGGAGGUAUCAGAAGUGCGAAUGCUGACAUAAGUAACGAUAAAGCGGGUGAAAAGCCCGCUCGCCGGAAGACCAAGGGUUCCUGUCCAACGUUAAUCGGGGCAGGGUGAGUCGACCCCUAAGGCGAGGCCGAAAGGCGUAGUCGAUGGGAAACGGGUUAAUAUUCCCGUACUUGGUGUUACUGCGAAGGGGGGACGGAGAAGGCUAUGUUGGCCGGGCGACGGUUGUCCCGGUUUAAGCGUGUAGGUGUGUGUUCCAGGUAAAUCCGGUUCACUUUAACACUGAGGCGUGAUGACGAGGCACUACGGUGCUGAAGCAACAAAUGCCCUGCUUCCAGGAAAAGCCUCUAAGCAUCAGGUAACAUCAAAUCGUACCCCAAACCGACACAGGUGGUCAGGUAGAGAAUACCAAGGCGCUUGAGAGAACUCGGGUGAAGGAACUAGGCAAAAUGGUGCCGUAACUUCGGGAGAAGGCACGCUGACACGUAGGUGAAGUGAUUUACUCAUGGAGCUGAAGUCAGUCGAAGAUACCAGCUGGCUGCAACUGUUUAUUAAAAACACAGCACUGUGCAAACACGAAAGUGGACGUAUACGGUGUGACGCCUGCCCGGUGCCGGAAGGUUAAUUGAUGGGGUCAGCGCAAGCGAAGCUCCUGAUCGAAGCCCCGGUAAACGGCGGCCGUAACUAUAACGGUCCUAAGGUAGCGAAAUUCCUUGUCGGGUAAGUUCCGACCUGCACGAAUGGCGUAAUGAUGGCCAGGCUGUCUCCACCCGAGACUCAGUGAAAUUGAACUCGCUGUGAAGAUGCAGUGUACCCGCGGCAAGACGGAAAGACCCCGUGAACCUUUACUAUAGCUUGACACUGAACAUUGAGCCUUGAUGUGUAGGAUAGGUGGGAGGCUUUGAAGUGUGGACGCCAGUCUGCAUGGAGCCGACCUUGAAAUACCACCCUUUAAUGUUUGAUGUUCUAACGUGGACCCGUGAUCCGGGUUGCGGACAGUGUCUGGUGGGUAGUUUGACUGGGGCGGUCUCCUCCUAAAGAGUAACGGAGGAGCACGAAGGUUGGCUAAUCCUGGUCGGACAUCAGGAGGUUAGUGCAAUGGCAUAAGCCAGCUUGACUGCGAGCGUGACGGCGCGAGCAGGUGCGAAAGCAGGUCAUAGUGAUCCGGUGGUUCUGAAUGGAAGGGCCAUCGCUCAACGGAUAAAAGGUACUCCGGGGAUAACAGGCUGAUACCGCCCAAGAGUUCAUAUCGACGGCGGUGUUUGGCACCUCGAUGUCGGCUCAUCACAUCCUGGGGCUGAAGUAGGUCCCAAGGGUAUGGCUGUUCGCCAUUUAAAGUGGUACGCGAGCUGGGUUUAGAACGUCGUGAGACAGUUCGGUCCCUAUCUGCCGUGGGCGCUGGAGAACUGAGGGGGGCUGCUCCUAGUACGAGAGGACCGGAGUGGACGCAUCACUGGUGUUCGGGUUGUCAUGCCAAUGGCACUGCCCGGUAGCUAAAUGCGGAAGAGAUAAGUGCUGAAAGCAUCUAAGCACGAAACUUGCCCCGAGAUGAGUUCUCCCUGAGACUUUAGGUCUCCUGAAGGAACGUUGAAGACGACGACGUUGAUAGGCCGGGUGUGUAAGCGCAGCGAUGCGUUGAGCUAACCGGUACUAAUGAACCGUGAGGCUUAACCUU